AAUCUUGGACAAUGGGCGAAAGCCUGAUCCAGCGACGCCGCGUGGGUGAUGAAGGCCUUCGGGUUGUAAAGCCCUGUUGAGGGGAAAGAAAACGUUGGGCGCGAACAGCUCCCGACCUUGACGGUACCCCUCCAGAAAGCACCGGCUAACUCUGUGCCAGCAGCCGCGGUAAGACAGAGGAUGCAAGCGUUAUCCGGAGUGAUUGGGCGUAAAGCGUCUGUAGGUGGCUUAAAAAGUCUUCUGUCAAAGAUCAGGGCUUAACCCUGGGCCGGCAGGAGAAACUCUUAGGCUAGAGUUUGGUAGGGGCAGAGGGAAUUCCCGGUGGAGCGGUGAAAUGCGUAGAGAUCGGGAGGAACACCAAAGGCGAAAGCACUCUGCUGGGCCACAACUGACACUGAGAGACGAAAGCGAGGGGAGCAAAA
rnacentral:rRNA from 1 species